CGACUACAUCAUCCAAUGUAGUCUUGUAGUAUAUAUAUCUAUAUUUGAUCUGAGAAGGCUAAGAUCUCUCUCUCAGACACAGCUGCCCGUUCCAGCAAAUCAAUUACAUUAUUUCACUAAUUGAUAUAAUAUAAUAUUUGUUGCUGGUGAAUUUAAAGACAGAAUUUCUACAUGCCACACAUUGAAAAGCUUUCUUCUGACCUGUAAGUCAUUCAUAUGUAUAUAUAUAUAUUUAUAUAUAAGCUUAUUCUACUGGGAAUCUGUUUUUAUUAUCAUUUUCUUUUAUCAUAUUUCGCUUGUGUCUUAACACAGUUAAGAUCUACAACAUAUAAAGCAAUUGUGUUGCUCCAUUUGUGAUAUAUUUCACUUCAGUAAAGUUUAGAUAUUUCUACGAGACAUGUAUGUAUGUAACUUAGUUUUUAGUGAUCGUUAAAUACAACCUUAUUAUGAUCUGCGAUUGUAGGAGUUCCCUGGAAAUAUAUUCACUUGAAACAGACAUUUCAUAAUGAAACUUGAUUCCUCAGGGAAUCGAGAAACAUUAUCGAUAUUCUUCGGCCACAUUUUGCCUUUGUGGCAAAUGUAUUUUGUGGAUUUCUAGAAUGCGUUUUAUGUCCAAUAUACGUUGGUUUUUUUUUUUUAAUUGUUUCAUCAAGCAAUGCUUCACUGAAAAUACUCUAAAUUUGUGUUUUAAAAGCAAAAGGUUUAUAACUAUGUGAUCGAAAUAGUUAAUAAAAGUCCAGGUAUUGAGAUGAGAAACUGAUAUGUUACUUUUAUUCAUUGCAAUAUGCAGAAUAUUGUAAUCUUUUUAAGUUACUGCUCCAGUAUUUUUAAGAAUGUCUUCUGAGAUUUUUCUACCACAAUUUGUUAUUAAUAAUAUAAUUUUAAAAUUGUGUCUGUGUGAAGGUGCAUGGCUCUGUGGUCAGAGCGUCUGGCUCACAAUCAUGAGGCAGUGAGUUUGAUUCCCGGACCGGGCUGUGUGUUGUAUUCUUGAGUAAGACGCUUUAUUUCACGUUGCUCCAGUUCAGCAGAAAUGAGUUGCGAUGUCACUGGCACCAAGCUGUAUCGGUCUUUGCCUUUUCCCUUGGAUAACAUCGACGGGGAGGCUGGUCUUGUGCCUCGGAUGGUAACUGUCUAGGAGCCACCUCUUGGUCAUUCAUGACCGAAGAGAGAGAAAGAGAAAUGGUCCAAAAAUGCAAAGUUAAAGAGCAACAAACAGUGUAUUAGCUUGACACUCCGGGAAAAUGGAAGACGCCUUUAACGUUUCGAGCCUACUCUUCUAUUAAAAGGCCAGAUGAGGAGACAAAAAAAUGUGUCCGAGCUAAAACGUGUUAAAAUGGAUAUAUAUGUAUAAUAACUUUGCUUCCGGGUUCAGUCCCACUGUGUGGUACCUUGGGUUAGUGUCUUGUGAACGGAUUAGGUAAACGGAAACUGAAAGAAACCCGUUGUGUGUAUGACUUUGUGUUCUCCACACUGCUUGACAACUGGUGAUGGUUUGUAAGCAAGCUUCUCAACUGCGACUGCACCUAUUUGUGUGUUUGUAUAGAUCAUGAUUUUGGCCCCUUCCUUCCAUAGGGAACUCAAAACCUUAAAAGUCUCAAAACCAAACAAUAUCACAAGCUUACACCAAAAACACCCAUGGUCUGAAUAACUGCUGCAUCACCAAGAGAAAUAACAUCAUACAGAACCAUCGCCUCCCUAUGCGACUGUUUGUGUUAAUGAAGAAAAGUUUUAUCUUUGACAUCACCAAUCUAUACAUCUGUCCUCUCUCAAAAUUGCUCAUGCUACUAUACUCUCAACCAUCCCACUAUUUAUAAAUCUAAACACAAGGCAUACAUGAGAUGCCCUGUGUUUCUUUCAGUUAAUUUCAAAUGUAACAAAGAAUUUAGUAAAAUAACUUAGUUAUCAUUAAGCUAGUGUUAGGAACAUAAAUUGUGACUAAGGUUUGGUGGAAGAUUUUAAUUCAAAACUUAGGAAAACAAGACAUUUGUAUUACAGAGCCAGAAGCGGUUUCAGGCGGGUUAAGGUAAAAGUUUAUAUCUACAGUUUAUUAAUAUACAAUUAUACUAGAAUUUCUGGUUUCUGUUAUUAAGCAUUGUCUAUAUCUUAUAUUUUUCAGAAUAUCAGAUGACAUUGGUGUAAAAGAAUAUUUUACUUCGGAUGCAUCAAAAGUGUUUAUCAUCUCUUGAAAACUAAAGGAAAAGAUAUUCUACAGAAC
rnacentral:lncRNA from 1 species